AGCUUUGCACAGUGGCAGUAUUGUAGUUAUCCAAGGUGGGAUUAUUGCUAAUUGAAAGCUUUUCCCAAUACCCCGCCAUGACGACUUGCAAUAUAGUUGGCAUUGAAUUGGCAAUUUUUUACAGUCUCUGUGGAGA
ensembl:snRNA U4 U4 spliceosomal RNA